rnacentral:rRNA from 1 species
UGCAAGUCGAGCGAGAAAACCCUUCGGGGUUAGUACAGCGGCGGACGAGUGAGUAACACGUGGGAAUUUACCCUUCAGUGAAGAAUACCAUCGAGAAAUCGGUGUUAAUACUGCAUACGUUCCUUCGGGAAGAAAGGUGGCCUCUAGCUGCCGCUGAUGGAUAAGCCUGCGGACUAUUAGCUAGUUGGUGAGGUAAUGGCUCACCAAGGCGAUGAUGGUUAACCGGCCUGAGAGGGUGUACGGUCACGUUGGAACUGAGACACGGUCCAAACUCCUACGGGAGGCAGCAGUGAGGAAUAUUGCAUAAUGGGGGAAACCCUGAUGCAGCGACGCCGCGUGGAGGAUGAAGGUUUUCGGAUCGUAAACUCCUGUUAAGUGGGAAGAAAGAAUCGCUUUUAAUAGAAGCGAGAGAUGACAGUACCACUAGAGAAAGCACCGGCUAACUUCGUGCCAGCAGCCGCGGUAAUACGAGGGGUGCUAGCGUUAUUCGGAUUUAUUGGGCGUAAAGGGUACGUAGACGGCGUGCUAAGUUAGUUGUUAAAUCUCUCGGCCUAACCGAGAUCAAGCAAUUAAUACUGGCGUGCUAGAGGGUGAGAGAGAGGAGUGGAAUUCUCGGAGUAGCAGUAAAAUGCGUAGAUAUCGAGAGGAACACCGAUGGCGAAGGCAGCUCCUUGGCUCAUUCCUGACGUUGAGGUACGAAAGCGUGGGUAGCAAACAGGAUUAGAUACCCUGGUAGUCCACGCCGUAAACGAUGAUCACUAGACGUCUGCUUUGCUUAGCAAGGUAGGUGUCGCAGCUAACGCGUUAAGUGAUCCGCCUGGGGACUACGGUCGCAAGACUAAAACUCAAAGAAAUUGACGGGGAUCCGCACAAGCGGUGGAACAUGUGGUUUAAUUCGACACUACGCGAG